GCUGUUUUUAAUUAUUUUGGGGUCCCCUGUUUCCCUUUUCCAGAGGCACGAAUUUUGCGAAAUCCCUCCGCCCUACUCAUCAGGGAACUGGAACAGCCUGUAAAUGAUUGACACACUGCCAUCUUGCAAGUGCUGAAGGUGGAUGUAUCUCAAGAGGUCAAGAAUGAGCCUUCUUAGUUAGUACUCUGAUUUCCUAAGCCAAGACCAAAGGAUGAAGAACCUCAGAUGGCUGAGAACAGGAUAUAAGUUACAGGAACAUAUGCCUUUUUCAAGAUAUUUAGAAAUUUCACUUCUCCUGAUUUUAGAAUCCUGCUUUUGCAACUCAAAGGAAAAGCUUUCAGCUUGCAUCUAAAACUAUGUUAAAGGAGACAUUUCUCUUUAAUUCCUGCAGUUACCUUAGAUGUGAGACUUUAAUCAGGAGCCUGCAAAGUCAGUGCAGUAACUUUCAUAUGGCAGAAGAGUCCUCAAUGCUCAGAAAGUUUGUCAUGCACUCCUGCAGAACAUAAAAAGAAAGAUGCAUAACAUAACAAAGUGUAUUCAUAGCAUACAUUAAACUUAUUUUAAAGGGCAUAUUCACCUCCUGCUCAGUCUGAAGUCCUGGGCAACUCUGAGUAAAAGGCACAGGGGCAGAUGAGUUUGGGAAACGGUAGGUGACUCCUUAGCCCAGAGUAAGAAGGGAGGAUCUGCAACCUUCCUGUCCUCUAAUAGGUGUUUACUGUCACAGUGGAUAAAUACCAGGUGUGUGUCUUACAUGCAUCCUGCAAGGAAUACGAAAUUGCAUCUCCAAUAGGCUGUCCUGCUCCACUGUACAGCAGCUUUUAAUUAUGCUCAGCAGAAGGAACUAGAUUUCCUGGAAAAGCAGUAAAGGGAUAUGGGCAUUUCAUCUGGGUUCUAUUUUCAUUUGUUCUGUUGAAAUUUAGGUUCUAGGAAACAGCACUGUUUUAGAGGGUGGGGGCUAAGUGUUAAGAAAAUCAUGAGCAC
rnacentral:lncRNA from 1 species